UACGUAGGGACCAAGCGUUGUUCGGAUUUACUGGGCGUAAAGGGCGCGUAGGCGGCGCGGUAAGUCGCUUGUGAAAUCUCUGAGCUUAACUCAGAACGGCCAAGUGAUACUGCAGUGCUAGAGUGUGGAAGGGGCAAUCGGAAUUCUUGGUGUAGCGGUGAAAUGCGUAGAUAUCAAGAGGAACACCUGAGGUGAAGACGGGUUGCUGGGCCAACACUGACGCCGAGGCGCGAAAGCCAGGGGAGCAAACGGG
rnacentral:rRNA from 1 species